AGAGUUUGAUCCUGGCUCAGGAUGAACGCUAGCGGCGCGCCUUAUGCAUGCAAGUCGAACGGUCUCUCGCAAGAGAGAUAGUGGCAAACGGGUGAGUAAUAGAUAAAUAACCUGCCUUUAAGUGGGGGAUAACACUUCGAAAGAAGUGCUAAUACCGCAUAUGAUGCUCUUUCAUAAGAAGGAUCAUUAAAACCGCAAGGUGCUUGAAGAGGGGUUUGUCUCCGAUUAGCUAGCUGGUGGGGUAACGGCCUACCAAGGCAAUGAUCGGUAGCUGGUCUGAGAGGAUGGUCAGCCACACUGGAACUGAGACACGGUCCAGACUCCUACGGGAGGCAGCAGCAAGGAAUCUUGGGCAAUGGGCGAAAGCCUGACCCAGCGACGCCGCGUGAGGGAUGACGGCCUUCGGGUUGUAAACCUCUUUUCUCAGGGAAGAAUAAUGACGGUACCUGAGGAAUAAGUCUCGGCUAACUACGUGCCAGCAGCCGCGGUAAUACGUAGGAGGCGAGCGUUAUCCGGAUUUAUUGGGCGUAAAGUGGGCGUAGGUGGUCUUUCAAGUCAGAUGUGAAAUCUCCCGGCUCAACUGGGAGGGGUCAUCUGAUACUGUUGGACUUGAGUAUGGCAGGAGAAAACGGAAUUCCCGGUGUAGUGGUGAAAUGCGUAGAUAUCGGGAGGAACACCAGAGGCGAAGGCGGUUUUCUAGGCCAAAACUGACACUGAGGCCCGAAAGCGUGGGGAGCGAACAGGAUUAGAUACCCUGGUAGUCCACGCCCUAAACACUGGGUACUAGGUAUAGGGAGUAUCGACCCUUUCUGUGCCGAAGCUAACGCUUUAAGUACCCCGCCUGGGGAGUACGGUCGCAAGACUAAAACUCAAAGGAAUUGACGG
rnacentral:rRNA from 1 species